rnacentral:rRNA from 1 species
GAGGAACGCUGGCGGCGUGCCUAAUACAUGCAAGUCGAGCGAACAGACGAGGAGCUUGCUCCUCUGACGUUAGCGGCGGACGGGUGAGUAACACGUGGAUAACCUACCUAUAAGACUGGGAUAACUUCGGGAAACCGGAGCUAAUACCGGAUAAUAUAUUGAACCGCAUGGUUCAAUAGUGAAAGACGGUUUUGCUGUCACUUAUAGAUGGAUCCGCGCCGCAUUAGCUAGUUGGUAAGGUAACGGCUUACCAAGGCAACGAUGCGUAGCCGACCUGAGAGGGUGAUCGGCCACACUGGAACUGAGACACGGUCCAGACUCCUACGGGAGGCAGCAGUAGGGAAUCUUCCGCAAUGGGCGAAAGCCUGACGGAGCAACGCCGCGUGAGUGAUGAAGGUCUUCGGAUCGUAAAACUCUGUUAUUAGGGAAGAACAAAUGUGUAAGUAACUAUGCACGUCUUGACGGUACCUAAUCAGAAAGCCACGGCUAACUACGUG